rnacentral:rRNA from 1 species
UCGCGGCCUAUCAGCUUGUUGGUGGGGUAGUGGCUUACCAAGGCUUUGACGGGUAGCCGGCCUGAGAGGGUGACCGGCCACAUUGGGACUGAGAUACGGCCCAGACUCCUACGGGAGGCAGCAGUGGGGAAUAUUGCACAAUGGGCGGAAGCCUGAUGCAGCAACGCCGCGUGCGGGAUGACGGCCUUCGGGUUGUAAACCGCUUUCGCCUGUGACGAAGCGUGAGUGACGGUAAUGGGUAAAGAAGCACCGGCUAACUACGUGCCAGCAGCCGCGGUGAUACGUAGGGUGCGAGCGUUGUCCGGAUUUAUUGGGCGUAAAGGGCUCGUAGGUGGUUGAUCGCGUCGGAAGUGUAAUCUUGGGGCUUAACCCUGAGCGUGCUUUCGAUACGGGUUGACUUGGGGAAGGUAGGGGAGAAUGGAAUUCCUGGUGGAGCGGUGGAAUGCGCAGAUAUCAGGAGGAACACCAGUGGCGAAGGCGGUUCUCUGGGCCUUUCCUGACGCUGAGGAGCGAAAGCGUGGGGAGCGAACAGGCUUAGAUACCCUGGUAGUCCACGCUGUAAACGGUGGGUACUAGGUGUGGGGUCCAUUCCACGGGUUCCGCGCCGUAGCUAACGCUUUAAGUACCCCGCCUGGGGAGUACGGCCGCAAGGCUAAAACUCAAAGGAAUUGACGGGGCCCCGCACAAGCGGCGGAGCAUGCGGAUUAAUUCGAUGCAACGCGUAGAACCUUACCUGGGUUUGACAUGGAUCGGGAGUGCUCAGAGAUGGGUGUGCCUCUUUUGGGGUCGGUUCACAGGUGGUGCAUGGCUGUCGUCAGCUCGUGUCGUGAGAUGUUGGGUUAAGUCCCGCAACGAGCGCAACCCUUGUUCACUGUUGCCAGCACGUUAUGGUGGGGACUCAGUGGAGACCGCCGGGGCAACUCGGAGGAAGGUGGGGAUGACGUCAAGUCAUCAUGCCCCUUAUGUCCAGGGCUUCACGCAUGCUACAAUGGCUGGUACAGAGAGUGGCGAGCCUGUGAGGGUGAGCGAAUCUCGGAAAGCCGGUCUCAGUUCGGAUUGGGGUCUGCAACUCGACCUCAUGAAGUCGGAGUCGCUAGUAAUCGCAGAUCAGCAACGCUGCGGUGAAUACGUUCCCGGGGCUUGUACACACCGCCCGUCAAGUCAUGAAAGUUGGUAGCACCCGAAGCCGGUGGCCUAACCGUUGUGGGGGAGCCGUCGAAGGUGGGGCUGGA